GCCGCUCCUGGCUGUGGCGCUGACGGCCACCUCUAGUUGUCUCGCCCAGCUGAGGAAACUCUGGCUCCCGUCCCCGGUGAAAGGAGGGGGGAGAUCAAUCUUAACAUCACCGCCCGCACCGCACGAGAUUAGCCAGCAAGCUAUAUCGGAGAUGCUAAGCUAUCCAACUGGCACGUAGCCGUCACGGA